GACGAACGCUGGCGGCGUGCCUAACACAUGCAAGUCGAACGGAAAGGCCCUGCUUUUGUGGGGUGCUCGAGUGGCGAACGGGUGAGUAACACGUGAGUAACCUGCCCUUGACUUUGGGAUAACUUCAGGAAACUGGGGCUAAUACCGGAUAGGAGCUCCUGCUGCAUGGUGGGGGUUGGAAAGUUUCGGCGGUUGGGGAUGGACUCGCGGCUUAUGAGCUUGUUGGUGGGGUAGUGGCUUACCAAGGCUUUGACGGGUAGCCGGCCUGAGAGGGGGGCCGGGGACAAUGGGACUGAGGGAGGGACCAGACUGCAACGGGAGGCAGAGGUGGGGAGUAUUGCACAGUGGGCGGGAGCCUGAUACAGCGACGCCGGGAGCGGGAAGACGGCCUUCGGGUUAUGAACCGCUUUCGCCUGUGACGAAGCGUGAGUGACGGUAAUGAGUAAAGAAGCACCGGCUAACUACGUG
rnacentral:rRNA from 1 species